UGGGGAAUUUUGGACAAUGGGCGAAAGCCUGAUCCAGCAAUGCCGCGUGUGUGAAGAAGGCCUUCGGGUUGUAAAGCACUUUUGUCCGGAAAGAAAUCCUUGGCUCUAAUACAGUCGGGGGAUGACGGUACCGGAAGAAUAAGCACCGGCUAACUACGUGCCAGCAGCCGCGGUAAUACGUAGGGUGCAAGCGUUAAUCGGAAUUACUGGGCGUAAAGCGUGCGCAGGCGGUUUGCUAAGACCGAUGUGAAAUCCCCGGGCUCAACCUGGGAACUGCAUUGGUGACUGGCAGGCUAGAGUAUGGCAGAGGGGGGUAGAAUUCCACGUGUAGCAGUGAAAUGCGUAGAGAUGUGGAGGAAUACCGAUGGCGAAGGCAGCCCCCUGGGCCAAUACUGACGCUCAUGCACGAAAGCGUGGGGAGCAAACAGGAUUAGAUACCCUGGUAGUCCACGCCCUAAACGAUGUCAACUAGUUGUUGGGGAUUCAUUCCUUAGUAACGUAGCUAACGCGUGAAGUUGACCGCCUGGGGAGUACGGUCGCAAGAUUAAAACUCAAAGGAAUUGACGGGGUCAUAGCUGUUU
rnacentral:rRNA from 1 species